CCUACGGGUGGCAGCAGUGAGGAAUAUUGGUCAAUGGGCUAAGGCCUGAACCAGCCAAGUCGCGUGAGGGAUGACGGUCCUAUGGUUUGUAAACCUCUUUUGUCGGGGAGCAACGAGGCCCUGUGUGGCCGUUGUGAGCGUACCCUAAGAAAAAGCAUCGGCUAACUCCGUGCCAGCAGCCGCGGUAAUACGGGGGAUGCGAGCGUUAUCCGGAUUUAUUGGGUUUAAAGGGAGCGUAGGCGGAACGUUAAGUCAGUGGUAAAAUCGAGGGGCUCAACCCCUGUAAGCCGUUGAAACUGGUGAUCUUGAGUGAGAGAGAGGUAGGCGGAAUGCGUGGUGUAGCGGUGAAAUGCGUAGAUAUCACGAAGAACUCCGAUGGCGAAGGCAGCAUACCGGCGCCCGACUGACGCUGAGGCACGAAAGCGUGGGGAUCGAACAGGAUUAGAUACCCUUGUAGUC
rnacentral:rRNA from 1 species